AUGAUGCAAUGGCUUUAUUAGGCAUGGUCGACGUCUCUUUUUGUGGUUCUGAAUUUCGAGUUACACGAAUUGGUUUUGAGUUUUUUCUCUUCCUCUCUUUGUGUGGCUCUUUCUCUCAAGGAUUUCAAGUCGACCGCGUUCAUCUGAAGUGUUGGAGCCUGUAUUCAAGUCACAUUCUCGAGAUCCCGCCGAUUUGAUCAAACUUGAGAGGUUCUUAGGGGGGUCUAGAUUUCUUUCGAUUCGACCUCUGCACCUGGCGGUUAAUUGAAAUCGGAAUGAUUGAACCAUGCAUGUCAGAGCGUAUCGAGGCUGCACUUACAUAGUGUUGCCAUUUGCUUUGCAUCCAAUCACCUUUGCUCAGCUCAGCUCAUGACACGAAGGUCCUUGAAUCCGGAUUUGCUUCAACAGACCUAAACCAGUCUCGCCGUAGUCAGAGACUCACUCCUCGAGACUCAUCCAGGAGUUUUCAUAUCUGUCCAUCGUUGCUCGGAGGAAGGAAUGUCACCCACCAGGACUGUCAGCUGAACAUUAUGAACUUUGCUUGGCUGUCAAAAACCAAGCAAUUGCUCAGUCGAUUCCUCAGUAUCACUCGAAAUUCAUGUCCGCAGUGACGAGGACUAGAUACAUACAUCGAUACGGACGGAGUCAUGACCAACCUUGUUUUCGAAAUCUUCCGCCCGGGUGUCAAACUGCCAUUGACUCGUGUCAAAGUCACUUCUUUUCCUGCAAUGCCCAAAUCACCUCUGGAAACCAAGCAGCAGCUGUGGAAGGUGGCCUGCGUCUGGCAGCGACAAUCCGAGUUUGUUGUAAGCACUUCUCGGUCGGAUCCAUCCCAUUCUCGAGGAUUUCCUGCAAUUUCCUCUGCCCUAUUCUCCGGUUAGCAAACCGGGCGCGAAAGGCUCGCUCUUUCAGAUCACAAAGGUGUACGUACCUACGCUACAUACAGUAUUAACCCAAGAAGGAGAAAGAAAUGAGCGUUUAAAAAGGAACAACAGUUCAAGGACGUCACUUCUGACUCGUGCACACCGUCGGAAAUAUGAAUGGAUCUGGAAGUGGACAUGUUUCUGGGGAGGCUAAUGGAUCUCGCUAUGCAGGGCUUUUACCACCAUUGAGUGCUCAGUUUUGCCAACGAUGAGUGAGCAAAUGGAUAUGACACCCUAAAUGUGAGCAUGCUUCAAGUGUUUUAAGGAAGACGGAACCUACAAGCGGACGGUUUCGUGUUGCUUGGGGUGGUGUUUCUAGCACCAUUGAUGUGUGGUGUCGUUUUCCGUCGUCGUAACUUCAGUACGUCCCAAGUCAUUGAUGAUGGGUUUUAAUGCCAUGAUUACACCUAUCUGCGCUUCCUAACGAUCUCCACCGAAAACAAUAGUUCCCUGGGGCCUUCUACUUGACCUAUGUUCCACAAUCAACGGUGUUUUGAGUUCAAAAACAAGAGGAACUGCUGUGCCUCAAAACCGCUUUUGGAUUCUUCCGUCAAUUCAUCUCUCGUUUAUUUUGAUUGAUCAGGGAGGGUGAAUGCGGAUCUCAAGAUACGAGUCGUAUUAGCAUCGCUUAAGGACUUCCAGGUGUCUGAAAACGAAAUUGGAGGAUUCCCGGAGUUGUAGUUAGUCGAUUCGUUUGUGAGUGUUGAUUAUGCGAUACAUCCUUACCCAUUUCGGCCAGCUUUGAAUGGUUUGGUAGAGUUUGUCUCCAGGACAAUCGGUACUACCCGCUUGACGAUGGCCAAACAUCUCGUAAUUGGAUUGCACCUUUCCAAGCCCCACGGCACACUUCACAGUAAAGAAUCGAGAAAUGAUUAGGUCAUGCUUCAGUCAAUGUCAGGCUUCAAAUCGUCAAAGUGGAACAUACCGAAGCCAGUUGUUGGUAUACAUCCAUGGCUUCUUGAGUGGGGUUUUUCGUCAUGAAGCUACCAAUGAAGCAAGUCCCAUAUCCAACGGAGUUGUACCCUUGGGUGUGGGCUCCAAUCUUAUUCCAUCCGCGGCCCUCAUACACGUUACCAUCUCCACCAACUAGGAAGCUAAUGGUAAAGAAGACUUGAUUUCAGAAGGCCUUAAGAAGAAGAACACAUUUCAAUUCUUAAUUAGAUUGGCAUGGUUCCUUGAUGACAAGCUUGCUGAAAUUUGAUUUUAGCUUGCAAAACCCCGUUUUCAAUCACAUGUCAUUCUCUCUCGGCAGAUGAAGAUGAUUGUGACUCAUCUUAUUCGGUACGCUUUACAGAAUUGAGAAGAUUGAAUUUAGAAAAUUGUCGCCGUCUUAGAUUGUGCCUGAUAUAGUUUGAUAACCCCCCAAAUGAUGCUAUUAAUGUUUAAAUAAACUGUAGCAACAGGA